CGAGAACUAUCAUAAUGUUCUCUUUCCAUUCCUUAAAGUUUGUGCCUUUAAGCACAGGGAUGCUGUUAAUAUUUGCAGAUAUUGUUGCAGCUGAAGAAUUCACUGAAAAUAGAACAAGGAUAAUUUAAUAUAUGCUUACAAUUACUCGAAUUUUAACUGUAGUUUACAGAUUCAAAAUAGGCAAAUCCCAUUACAAGAUACCUAGCACAACAUUGAUUUUAGUCUUUGGACAGAAAAUUAACUUGUAACAUACACAGUCAUCUUAUACUUCAAAAUCAAUCAAUCUACACAAAAGAGAUUACUUUGGUAACAUAAUGUUUCAAUUGACUAAUUUAAAGUAUUAGAUGCAAA
rnacentral:lncRNA from 1 species